UGAGUUCAUAGCUUAAAGGUUAGAGCGUACGUUUCGAUUGUACCUUGAUAAGCGUAAGGUUGAUCGUUCAAAUCGAUCUGAACUCAA
rnacentral:tRNA from 1 species